UCUCUGUUAGUAUAUCGGUUAGUACACGCGCCUGUCAUAAUUACGGCCGCGCGAAAGCGGGGUUCGACUCCCCGACAGAGAG
rnacentral:tRNA from 1 species